rnacentral:rRNA from 2 species
ACGGUCCAGACUCCUACGGGAGGCAGCAGUGGGGAAUAUUGCACAAUGGGCGCAAGCCUGAUGCAGCCAUGCCGCGUGUAUGAAGAAGGCCUUCGGGUUGUAAAGUACUUUCAGCGAGGAGGAAGGCAUUAAGGUUAAUAACCUUGGUGAUUGACGUUACUCGCAGAAGAAGCACCGGCUAACUCCGUGCCAGCAGCCGCGGUAAUACGGAGGGUGCAAGCGUUAAUCGGAAUUACUGGGCGUAAAGCGCACGCAGGCGGUCUGUCAAGUCGGAU